rnacentral:lncRNA from 1 species
UGGUGAAGAGAUAGUUUGUGGAGAGAGAUAAUUUGUCCUAGUAUUCUGUUUAACAUUGUUAUAGACAUAUUUUAAUUGUUUUUCUCUUUUAUCUUUUUUCCAUAAACUACAAUUUUUUUAUUUUUUAUUAAUAUGGCUGUAAAUAUAGAUAGAACUCAUGUGGUUAGAAGUGUUCUAGCUGUAGAGUUAUGACCUCAUACUCAAUUAUACUCAACUAACACAUUUUUCUAUUACAUGCAGCGUUAGAGUACGUGGCAGAAGUUUUCAUCAUUAUGGACGGGCAAAAUUGUCCACUCUUAAAUGUCAUACACCCAUUAACAUCAAUCAACGUGUAGUUAGCAAAUAUAGACUUCCAUUGAAUGUAGUUAGCUAAAUAUCUCAACUUAAAAACAUCUUAUGCAAAUUUUA